AGACUGAAGUGGAGAAAGGUUCCUGGAGAACAUUAUUUGGUCCAGGGUUAGUCGAUCCUAAGAGGUAGGGAAGUUCCGUUAUUUCAAAGUGAUCAAUUUUGAUCCGCCUAUCGAAAGGGAAACAGUUUAAUAUUACUGUACUAGGACGAGGAUUUUCUGCGGCAACGCAAAUGAACUUGGAGACAUCAGUGUGGGUCCCGGGAAGAGUUAUCUUUUCUUUUUAA
rnacentral:rRNA from 1 species